UGAUCGAAUUCUAUAUAUUCGACAUACAAUGAAAAUUCAUUUGCAGUAUUUUAAGUCAACUUCGGAAAUUGUAUACUUUAAUCAUGCAUGUGAAGACUGGAGAAGACAUGCUUUUCUUCAAGAAGGAACGUGAACUCACAAGACAUUGCCGUUUCUAACAUAUAUUAAAGCAUAAAAAUUAAAGAAAAAAAUACCAUACUAUGUAAAU